CGCGUAUACAAUUUGCCUUUUACUGGAGGAUAGCCAAGAGAAAUUUUGAUUAAUACUCCAUAGUAUUAUUUGGUCACCUGAUCGAGUAAUUAAAGUUCCGGCGGUAAAAGAUGAGUAUGCGUCCUAUUAGCUAGAUGGUAAGGUAACGGCUUACCAUGGCGACGAUAGGUAGGGGUCCUGAGAGGGAGAUCCCCCACACUGGUACGUGAGACACGGACCGAGACUCCUACGGGAGGGCAGCAGUGAGGAAUAAUUGGGCGAAUGAAGGCAACUCUGACCCACGCCAUGCCGCGUGCAGGA
rnacentral:rRNA from 1 species